rnacentral:rRNA from 1 species
UACGUAGGUGGCAAGCGUUGUCCGGAAUUAUUGGGCGUAAAGCGCGCGCAGGCGGUCCCUUAAGUCUGAUGUGAAAGCCCACGGCUCAACCGUGGAGGGUCAUUGGAAACUGGGGGACUUGAGUACGGAAGAGGAAAGCGGAAUUCCACGUGUAGCGGUGAAAUGCGUAGAGAUGUGGAGGAACACCAGUGGCGAAGGCGGCUUUCUGGUCUGUAACUGACGCUGAGGCGCGAAAGCGUGGGGAGCAAACAGG